rnacentral:miRNA from 1 species
UGAGAACUGAAUUCCAUAGAUGGUA